rnacentral:lncRNA from 1 species
AACAAAAGCAGGGUAGGGCUCCAGCUAAGCCACGUAGGCACUACGAUGGGCAACAGAAAGGUUGGUUUCUGGGCAAUUCAGAGAAACCAAGGACAGCUACCCCCAGAACUCAGAGUAGCCAACUGGGUUGCUCACAGGAGAUGCCUUAACUGAAAGGUGAUCAGACUCCACAGGAGACCCAGAGAAGAUGUGGAGGGAGCUCAGAGGCUGUCCUGGAGGAGACGUGGAGACAGUUCAGAGGCUGUCCCGGAGAAGACGUGGAAAGAGCUCAGAGGCUGUCCCAGAGAAGACGUGGAGAGCUCAGAGGAUGUCCCAAACAAGAGAGAGCUCAGAGGCUGUCCCAGAGAAGACGUGGAGAGAGUUCAGAGGCUGUCCUGGAGAAGACGUGGAAAGAGCUCAGAGACUCAGAGACUGUCCCGGAGAAGACAUGGAAACAGCUCAGAGGCUGUCUGCAAGAAGACGUGCAGAGAGUUCAGAGGCUGUCCCAGAGAAGACAUGGAGAGAGCUCAAAGGCUGUCCACAAGAAGAUGUGGAGAGAGUUCAGAGGCUGUCGUUACUGUUGCACUUGGCUGUUUUUCUUUGGAUAAUUAUUGCAAUCAAUUUUAGUAAUUCAGGUGUUAAAUCACAGUCAAGCACCUAUUUACCUAGUGGUAAAAUCCUUAAGUAAGUCAUAUUUGGUUGGGAAGAUCAAAGAAAUCACCCAGUCUCCCACAUCCGAAAUUGUGCA